AGUGAACGCUGGCGGCAGGCCUAAUACAUGCAAGUCGAACGGCAGCACAGCAGAGCUUGCUCUGUGGGUGGCGAGUGGCGGACGGGUGAGGAAUACGUGGGAAUCUGCCCAGUCGUGGGGAUAACGUAGGGAAACUUACGCUAAUACCGCAUGCGCCCUUCGGGGGAAAGCCGGGGACCUUCGGGCCUGGCGCGAUUGGAUGAGCCCAGUCGGAUUAGCUAGUUGGCGGGGUAAAGGCCCACCAAGGCGACGAUCCGUAGCUGGUCUGAGAGGAUGAUCAGCCACACUGGAACUGAGACACGGUCCAGACUCCUACGGGAGGCAGCAGUAGGGAAUAUUGGACAAUGGGCGCAAGCCUGAUCCAGCCAUGCCGCGUGAGUGAAGAAGGCCCUCGGGUGUAAAGCUCUUUUGUCCGGAAAGAAAAGCGCCGGGUUAAUACCCUGGUGUCCUGACGGUACCGAGAAUAAGCACCGGCUAACUUCGUGCCAGCAGCCGC
rnacentral:rRNA from 1 species